rnacentral:rRNA from 1 species
GUGACCUCAAAUCAGGUAGGACUACCCGCUGAACUUAAGCAUAUCAAUAAGCGGAGGAAAAGAAACUAACAAGGAUUCCCCUAGUAACUGCGAGUGAAGCGGGAAAAGCUCAAAUUUAAAAUCUGUCAGUCUUUGGCUGUCCGAGUUGUAAUCUAGAGAAGUGUUAUCCGCGCUGGACCGUGUACAAGUCUCCUGGAAUGGAGCGUCAUAGAGGGUGAGAAUCCCGUCUUUGACACGGACUGCCAGGGCUUUUGUGAUGCGCUCUCAAAGAGUCGAGUUGUUUGGGAAUGCAGCUCAAAAUGGGUGGUAAAUUCCAUCUAAAGCUAAAUAUUGGCGAGAGACCGAUAGCGAACAAGUACCGUGAGGGAAAGAUGAAAAGAACUUUGGAAAGAGAGUUAAACAGUACGUGAAAUUGCUGAAAGGGAAACGCUUGAAGUCAGUCGCGUCAUCCAGGGAUCAACCUUGCUUUUGCUUGGUGUACUUUCUGGUUGACGGGUCAGCAUCAAUUUUGACCAUUGGAAAAAGAUUAAGGGAAUGUGGCAUACAUAGUGAUGUGUUAUAGCCCUUGGUUGCAUACAAUGGUUGGGAUUGAGGAACUCAGCACGCCGCAAGGCCGGGUUUUUAUUUUAUAACCACGUACGUGCUAGGA